rnacentral:rRNA from 1 species
AAUGACUCUCGGCAACGGAUAUCUCGGCUCUCGCAUCGAUGAAGAACGUAGCGAAAUGCGAUACUUGGUGUGAAUUGCAGAAUCCCGUGAACCAUCGAGUCUUUGAACGCAAGUUGCGCCCGAAGCCAUUAGGUUGAGGGCACGUCUGCCUGGGCGUCACGCA